GAUGAACGCUAGCGACAGGCUUAACACAUGCAAGUCGAGGGGCAGCAUGAACUUAGCUUGCUCAGUUUGAUGGCGACCGGCGCACGGGUGAGUAACACGUAUCCAACCUGCCGAUGACUCGUGGAUAGCCUUUCGAAAGAAAGAUUAAUACCCGAUUUCAUAGUUCUUCCGCAUGGUAGAACUAUUAAAUAUUUUCGGUCAUCGAUGGGGAUGCGUUCCAUUAGGUUGUUGGCGGGGUAACGGCCCACCAAGCCUGCGAUGGAUAGUGGUUCUGAGAGGAAGGUCCCCCACAUUGGAACUGAGACACGGACCACACUCCUACGCGAGGCAGCAGUGAGGAAUAUUAGUCAAUGGACGAGAGUCUGAACCAGCCAAGUAGCGUGAAGGAUGCCUGCCCUCUGGGUUGUAAACUUCUUUUAUACGGGAAUAAAGUGAGGCACGUGUGCCUUUUUGUAUGUACCGUAUGAAUAAGGAUCGGCUAACUCCGUG
rnacentral:rRNA from 1 species